rnacentral:rRNA from 1 species
GUCUGUUUGAAGAUAUAAAAAGUCUAGCCUGCCCACUGAUAAUUGUUUAAAGGGCCGCGGUAUAUUGACUGUGCAAAGGUAGCAUAAUCGUUAGUUUUUUAAUUGGAAUCUUGUAUGAAUGGUUUGACAAAAGAAAAUCUGUCUUUAUAAUUAUUUAUUGAAUUUAACUUUUAAGUGAAAAGGCUUAAAUAAUUUAAAAAGACGAUAAGACCCUAUAAAGCUUAAUAUUAAUUUUUAUUUAAUAGAAUUUUUAAUAAUAUAAGUAUUUAGUAGAAAAUUUUUUAUUUUAUUGGGGCGAUAGUAAUAAAAUGAUUAUUAACUGUUAAUAGAAUUUAAACAAAAAUAAAUGAAUAAAGUAUAGAUUAAAUGAUCCUUUUUGAAGAUUAGAAGUUUAAGUUACUUUAGGGAUAACAGCGUUAUUUUUUUUGAGAGUUCUUAUCGAGAAAAAAGUUUGCGACCUCGAUGUUGAAUUAAAAUAUCUAUAUAAUUGUAGCAGUUAUAUAAGAAGGUCUGUUCGACCUUUAAAUUUUUACAUGAUUUGAGUUCAGACCGGCGUAAGCCAGGUUGGUUUCUAUCUUUUAAUAUAUAAAAAAUA